UUGUUCUCUCUCUCUUUCUCUCUCCAGGUCGAGACAUGGCCAACACAACCCUACCGGGUUAUCCCCCUCACGUACCCCCCACCGGCCAAGGCAGCUACCCCACCUCAACACUGGCCGGAAUGGUUCCUGGGAGUGAGUUUACAGGAAACCCUUACAGUCAUCCACAGUACACGACCUACAACGAGGCAUGGCGGUUCAGCAACCCAGCAUUACUAAGUUCCCCUUAUUAUUAUAGUGCCACAUCCAGAGGUUCCGGACCACCUACUGCUGCCACGGCAUAUGACCGCCACUAGUUACCAUGGAAACCAAAUCAACCACCACCACCACCACCACCUACACCAUGACUACAACCAUGGCUUCGGCAGCGUCCAUGUUGCCCCGGUGUGAACAGAGGGCAUGAGGUGAUACCGUUAAAGACAGCUAACAGGCAGCUUCAUUUCCUGGAUACUACACUACUACACACAACAGAAGAAGAACGGUCCUCCUGGAUACCACACUACUACACACAACAGAAGAAGAACGGUCCUCCUGGAUACCACACUACUACACACAACAGAAGAAGAACGGUCCUCCUGGAUACCACACUACUACACACAACAGAAGAAGAACGGUCCUCCUCGAUACCACACUACUACACACAACAGAAGAAGAACGGUCCUCCUGGAUACUACACUACUACACACAACAGAAGAAGAACGGUCCUCCUGGAUACCACACUGCUACACACAACAGAAGAAGAACGGUCCUCCUGGAUACUACACUACUACACACAACAGAAGAAGAACGGUCCUCCUGGAUACCACACUACUACACACAACAGAAGAAGAACGGUCCUCCUGGAUACCACACUACUACACACAACAGAAGAAGAACGGUCCUCCUGGAUACCACACUGCUACACACAACAGAAAAUUACCUGAUCGUUCGGGAUACCAUGCAGGCAACUUCCCAUCAACCAUGAAUUUGGUAAAAAAUGUAAAAUUCUUCAUUCUGAUCUGCGUGACUGUACAUUACCACUAGAGACUUUGAAAGACUAUAUAUACGUGAUACUACUGAGGUUACUGAGGUAAAAAGAAAAAAAAAAUACAAGUUUUGAAAAUGAAAAGGAGUAAUUUGUAUCUUUUCCUGUUUUGUAAAUGGUCCUCCGUUUGUUUUUCCUCCUUCGUGGAUCAAAACGUUACAUUACUUGACUGAUCUGUCGGCUGACGGAGGAACCCGUCCUGAGCUGAGAGUCCAGGACAGUAUAGUAGCAGGCUGUUGUUCCCCUUCCUUCUGCAUCGGUCUGAACCUUCUACUCUUACGGGCAGUGCAAUGAGAUCAAAGCUAAAAGACAUUGGCGUCGAAGCGACUAAGGCUGCCGCAGCUUGGUUCCACUCCUCUAUUACAAGCAAACGGACAGACAUUUUAUUUGUAACCAACCAAACGUUCAAGCAUGAUUAAAGGAAUCAGUUGCUUUUGUUUUGAUGAUGAUGAUGAUGAUGAUGAUGAUGCCAGGAGAAGAUUAUAAAGGCGGUGUUCUCUGUGAUACACAAUCAGACGGAGGGGAAAGUAAACAAGAAAAACGCUGAAUUGAUAAAUGAGAAGGACAUUGUGACAUACCGUGGUCUUCUAAUUUACAAGGUUUAAAAAAAUAAAUAAAAAAAAACCCUAGUAAAUAUAUUCUUAAAAUAUUUUUUUUAAUUUUGUUUUUAUAAUUGUUAUUUGACAUCUUAAUGAAUUGCAAAUAAUAUGCUUGACUUUUUGUUGUUGUCAUUUUUAUUUGUCAGGAUACUAGAAAUAAUCAGGCAGAAUCUAUUUUGUAUUUGUUUUUAAUUUUGCACUAUUUUUUUGAGUUUUGACACACUGGGAGCGCUAUUAUGCAGACUUUGACCUGGAGGUUUGACACACUGGGAGCGCUAUUAUGCAGACUUUGACCUGGAGGUUUGACACACUGGGAGACAUCAUCACGACAUCAUCACGACGUCAUCACGACGUCAUCACGACAUCAUCACGACAUCAUCACGACUUCAUCGUGACCUUUUGUUCUGGAGAGGCACUUCAGAUGUCGCUGCUUUCUGUUGACCGUUUCCUUGACUUCCCAGUAGCAUUAUGUCUGGAGACGCUUUGGUAAACACUACUGCAAUUCCCCCAGUUUGUCUCUACCUUAUGUAGUACGCUCACUAUCCACACAUACUCAACCCGGGAAGUUAGCUAGCUAACAUUUUAAGUUUGAACCUAAGUCUUUGGCAUUAAGAUAUAGCAUAACAUUUGCUCAAUUAACUAUUUUUCUUUGACUAACUAAUUAAAUCAUUAAUAGUCAAGUAUAAUGGUUAUUGCUUGCAUCCUGCUUGGCACCCUAUUCCCUUUAUAGUGCACUACUUUUGACCAGAAGUAGUGCACUACGUAGGGAAUAGGGUUCCAUUUGAUACGCAGAUAUAGUACAGUUAGUAUAGUAAUUUAAUUCUGAUGUGGCCGUCGUCACAUAAUGAUGUGUCAACAAAAGUUUCAACUAAAAAGCAAAGAUUUCAGUUAAAUGCCUUAAUCAUAUGCAGGUUGUUGUUGUUGUUGUUUUUUUUGUCAAGGUUUCAACUUCCUAUAUUUUUUUUCGUUUUGUCGUAUAAGACGUCAUGUGACUUAUCCAGUUGGUUUGUCUUGAAAUCACACCGGUAACACCGACCUGGCUGGAAGAAUGGGAGAAAAAAGAAACGUGAUUAAACAUGACCUUACAUAGUUUUUCAAGUGAAUGUAUUUUUUUUACCACAUUUGCCAAAGACUUUAGUUCUUGUUCUUGUUUCUUCUAUUUACAGCCUGCAUACGUCUGCAUUGUGAGAGCAGUAUUAUGGGGAGGAAAACACACACAAAUUGUCCGUUUAAUGAACAGUACAUGUAUCAAUUCUAUGCAGAGCAGAGAACGGUCGUCAUUAUUAUGCAUAUUUAGCUGUAAAAACCCAUAGGAAGGUGAUUGAAUUUAUUUAAUGUUAUGUUAUUUACAAAACUGUUGAUUUAUUUGUAGAAUAAUUUGUGUAUAAUGUGAAAACACUUGACUUUCACUCUGUAAAUACAGUCAAAUAAUAUGUACAUCUGUGAUCAUCUGUAUUAUGCCCUCUCGUCCACUGGAGUCUCACUGGUACAGGUCAAUAAUAAAGUGGUUAAACUCUUCUAAGUCAUGGUAGAGCACGGUACUACUUUCCUGUCAUGGUAGAGCACGGUACUACUUUCCUGUCAUGGUAGAGCACGGUACUACUUUCCUGUCAUGGUAGAGCACGGUACUACUUUCCUGUCAUGGUAGAGCACGGUACUACUUUCCUGUCAUGGUAGAGCACGGUACUACUUUCCUGUCAUGGUAGAGCACGGUACUACUUUCCUGUCAUGGUAGAGCACGGUACUACUUUCCUGUCAUGGUAGAGCACGGUACUACUUUCCUGUCAUGGUAGAGCACGGUACUACUUUCCUGUCAUGGUAGAGCACGGUACUACUUUCCUGUCAUGGUAGAGCACGGUACUACUUUCCUGUCAUGGUAGAGCACGGUACUACUUUCCUGUCAUGGUAGAGCACGGUACUACUUUCCUGUCAUGGUAGAGCACGGUACUACUUUCCUGUCAUGGUAGAGCACGGUACUACUUUCCUGUCAUGGUAGAGCACGGUACUACUUUCCUGUCAUGGUAGAGCACGGUACUACUUUCCUGUCAUGGUAGAGCACGGUACUACUUUCCUGUCAUGGUAGAGCACGGUACUACUUUCCUGUCAUGGUAGAGCACGGUACUACUUUCCUGUCAUGGUAGAGCACGGUACUACUUUCCUGUCAUGGUAGAGCACGGUACUACUUUCCUGUCAUGGUAGAGCACGGUACUACUUUCCUGUCAUGGUAGAGCACGGUACUACUUUCCUGUCAUGGUAGAGCACGGUACUACUUUCCUGUCAUGGUAGAGCACGGUACUACUUUCCUGUCAUGGUAGAGCACGGUACUACUUUCCUGUCAUGGUAGAGCACGGUACUACUUUCCUGUCAUGGUAGAGCACGGUACUACUUUCCUGUCAUGGUAGAGCACGGUACUACUUUCCUGUCAUGGUAGAGCACGGUACUACUUUCCUGUCAUGGUAGAGCACGGUACUACUUUCCUGUCAUGG